rnacentral:rRNA from 1 species
UGGAAUUCACCUUCGGGUGAUAGUACGGUGGCGGACGGGUGAGUAACGCGUAAAGAACUUGCCCUCUAGACUGGGACAACUGUUGGAAACGACAGCUAAUACCGGAUAUUAUGAGAACCUCGCAUGGGGAACUUAUGAAAGGCUAUAUGCGCUAGAGGAGAGCUUUGCGUGCCAUUAGGUAGUUGGUAGGGUAAUGGCCUACCAAGCCGACGAUGGCUAGCCGGCCUGAGAGGGUGAUCGGCCACAAGGGGACUGAGACACGGCCCUUACUCCUACGGGAGGCAGCAGUGGGGAAUAUUGGACAAUGGACUAAAAGUCGACGCGCAACGCCGCGUGAGUGAUGAAGGCUUUCGGGUCGUAAAGCACUGUCAAGUGGGAAGAACUCAUAUGGUGUUAAUAUCGCCAUAUGCUGACGGUACCUACAGAAGAAGCGACGGCUAAAUACGUGCCAGCAGCCGCGGUAAUACGUAUGUCGCAAGCGUUAUCCGGAAUUAUUGGGCGUAAAGCGCGUCUAGGCGGCCUUCUAAGUCUGAUGUUAAAAUGCGGGGCUCAACUCCGUAUUGCGUUGGAAACUGGAUGGCUAGAGUAUCAGAGAGGUGGGCGGAACUACAAGUGUAGAGGUGAAAUUCGUAGAUAUUUGUAGGAAUGCCGAUUGGGAAGCCAGCUCACUGGAUGAAUACUGACGCUAAAGCGCGAAAGCGUGGGGAGCAAACGGGAUUAGAUACCCCGGUAGUCCACGCCGUAAACGAUGAUCACUAAGUGUGGGGGGUCGAACCUCCGUGCUCAAGCUAACGCGAUAAGUGAUCCGCCUGGGGAGUACGCACGCAAGUGUGAAACUCAAAGGAAUUGACGGGGACCCGCACAAGCGGUGGAGCAUGUGGUUUAGUUCGACGCAACGCGAGGAACCUUACCAGCCCUUGACAUCCCAAGAACUUAGCAGAGAUGCUUUGGUGCCUUUUCGGAGGAACUUGGUGACAGGUGGUGCAUGGCUGUCGUCAGCUCGUGUCGUGAGAUGUUGGGUUAAGUCCCGCAACGAGCGCAACCCCUUUCGUAUGUUACCAUCAUUAAGUUGGGGACUCAUGCGAUACUGCCGGUGACAAACCGGAGGAAGGUGGGGAUGACGUCAAGUCAUCAUGCCCCUUAUGGGCUGGGCUACACACGUGCUACAAUGGGCGAUACAGAGAGUUGCGAUACCGCGAGGUGGAGCUAAUCUCAGAAAGUCGUUCUUAGUUCGGAUCGCAGUCUGCAACUCGACUGCGUGAAGUUGGAAUCGCUAGUAAUCGCGAAUCAGCAAUGUCGCGGUGAAUACGUUCUCGGGUCUUGUACACACCGCCCGUCACACCACGAGAGUUGGUUGCACCUGAAGUAGCAGGCCUAACCCGUUUACGGGAAGGAUGUUCCUAAGGUGUGAUUGGCGAUUGGGGUGAAGUCGUAACAAGG